AAGACUAUUACUUUCAGGGAUCAUUUCUAUAGUUUAUAACUUGGAAAGUUGUUCUGAAAGUGUUACGUCUCUCUAUCCACGAUGACGAGUCGAGAUAUUUCUUUCUGAGCGUGAAUCUGAUGGAGAGUGAUGAGUAAAAUCAUCUGUUCUUUAUCAUUGAUGAACGCUCCUGCUGUGUUUCACAGUCUGGAGGAAAAAGUAUUUUUAAACUGAGUGGU
ensembl:snoRNA U3 Small nucleolar RNA U3